rnacentral:tRNA from 2 species
CAACCCGUAGCUAAAAGAUAGCACCUCCCUUACACUGAGGCGUCGCCCGUGCAACUCGGGCCAGGUUGA